GAUGAACGCUGGCGGCGUGCUUAACACAUGCAAGUCGAACGGAAAGGCCCUGCUUUUGUGGGGUGCUCGAGUGGCGAACGGGUGAGUAACACGUGAGUAACCUGCCCUUGACUUUGGGAUAACUUCAGGAAACUGGGGCUAAUACCGGAUAGGAGCUCCUGCUGCAUGGUGGGGGUUGGAAAGUUUCGGCGGUUGGGGAUGGACUCGCGGCUUAUCAGCUUGUUGGUGGGGUAGUGGCUUACCAAGGCUUUGACGGGUAGCCGGCCUGAGAGGGUGACCGGCCACAUUGGGCCUGCGAUACGGCCCAGACUCCUACGGGAGGCAGCAGUGGGGAAUAUUGCACAAUGGGCGGAAGCCUGAUGCAGCAACGCCGCGUGCGGGAUGACGGCCUUCGGGUUGUAAACCGCUUUCGCCUGUGACGAAGCGUGAGUGACGGUAAUGGGUAAAGAAGCACCGGCUAACUACGUG
rnacentral:rRNA from 1 species